ACUCCUCAUUCUAAAAAUGCCAGUGUUGUUUUCUCUCCCACUGCCUCACACCAGGCACACUCUCCAUUUCUCAAGGCAGGUAAUAAAUACACAGUUAUGGCUUAAAUAUAAUUGAGAAAAUCAAGAAAAUGAAUAUGCUGCCUAGGUUUACAACUCGAAGACUUCUAUUCAUGCUGGAAGAGGAGAGAAAAAAAUGAAAAACAACAACAACACAGAGAUUACAGGCAUGUGCCUAAAUCGAAUUUAACAAUCCCUCCCUCACCACCACCUACUUGGGAGUGGUAUAAAUAGGGCAUUCUCUUUUGCUGUCUAGGACUGCUUGAUUUUUCUUUGAACCAUAGAGAUGAAGUAUCAGUAAUGAGACAGUUCUUGCACCAUAUAGAUCAAGAACCUUCUCAUUUGGAAUCAAAUAUCAUCUGGCAACUCCCUGUUAGAACCCAGUGCCUUCCAUGUGAAGCCCAAUCGUCAUGAUGAGAUCACAUGCAGGUGCUCAGGCGACGCUCCCAGGUGAGCUAAACUUUAAGUCAUCUCAGGCCAGGGAGCAGCCCUGGCAGGGAAGAAGCCAUCUUGGAAGUGGAUCCUCCUGUCUCAUCUGUUCUAGACUCAGAUAUAGAAGGAGGGCUUCCCCACUGCAGGCUUUCCAAACUCUGACUCCAGAAUCCGUGAGCAUAAUAAAAAACGGUUGCUUUUAUGUCACUAAGUUUGGGUGAUUUUUUUACAAAGCAGUAGCAACUAUGACAAACUGACACAUUUACAAUAUUAUGUCUUCAAAUACACAGACUACUUGUGAGGCUGAGACAGGAGAAUUGCUUGAACUAGAGAGGCGGAGGUUGCAGUGAGCUGAGAUUGCACUGCUGCACUCCAGCCUGGGCGACAGAACGAGACUCUGACUCAAAGGAGUGGGUUCUUGGUAAAGGGACGUGUUCAGCCCCCUUCCCUUCUCUCUCAAACACACUCUUUGCAUUUCUGUCAUGGAAUGUCUCAGCAAGAAGGCCCUCGCCAGAUGCCAGCAUCUAGUCUACAGGACAAACUUGGGCUUCAAAUGGGAAAGAAGUCUGCAGAGCACAGACAGUACAGGGUGCAAGCAGCAGCGUGCGGAGGAGCAGUGUGAAAACUGUGCAGCCAUCCUGAAAUUAUGAAAAUUGUCACGAUACCCCUCAUAUUGUGUGCCUCUGCCCCGUUCCACCGUGUGCAGGCCUAGAAAUCACCCGUGGGCAAGUCAGUUUCCCAUCAGGAAGUCAGUCAGUUUCCCGUCAGGAAGUCAGUCAGUUUCCCAUCAGGAAGUCAGUUUCCCGUCAGGAAGUCAGUCAGUUUCCCGUCAGGAAGUCAGUCAGUUUCCCAUCAGGAAGUCAGUCUCCCAUCAGGAAGUCAGUCAGUUUCCCAUCAGGAAGUCAGUUUCCCAUCAGGAA
rnacentral:lncRNA from 1 species